AGUGAACGCUGGCGGCAGGCCUAACACAUGCAAGUCGAGCGGCAGCGCGUCCGACCACCCUCGGGUGGUCGGAUGGCGGCGAGCGGCGGACGGGUGAGGAAUGCAUCGGAAUCUGCCUCGUUGUGGGGGAUAACGUAGGGAAACUUACGCUAAUACCGCAUACGACCUACGGGUGAAAGUGGGGGACCUUCGGGCCUCACGCGAUGAGAUGAGCCGAUGCCGGAUUAGCUAGUUGGUGGGGUAAUGGCCUACCAAGGCGACGAUCCAUAGCUGAUUUGAGAGGAUGAUCAGCCACACUGGGACUGAGACACGGCCCAGACUCCUACGGGAGGCAGCAGUGGGGAAUAUUGCGCAAUGGGCGAAAGCCUGACGCAGCCACGCCGCGUGAGCGAUGAAGGCCUUCGGGUCGUAAAGACUCUGUGGGAGAGAAGAAUAAGACCUGUGAAGAG
rnacentral:rRNA from 1 species